rnacentral:rRNA from 1 species
AUUGAACGCUGGCGGCAGGCCUAACACAUGCAAGUCGAACGAGUGGCGGACGGGUGAGUAAUGUCUGGGAAACUGCCCGAUGGAGGGGGAUAACUACUGGAAACGGUAGCUAAUACCGCAUACCAUCGGAUGUGCCCAGAUGGGAUUAGCUAGUAGGUGGGGUAACGGCUCACCUAGGCGACGAUCCCUAGCUGGUCUGAGAGGAUGACCAGCCACACUGGAACGGAGACACGGUCCAGACUCCGACGGGAGUCAGCAGUGGGAAAUAUUGACCAAUGGGCGCAAGCCGGAUGCAGCCAUGCCGCGGGUAUGAAGAAGGCCUUCGGUUUGGAAAGUACUUUCAGCGAGGAGGCGUUACUCGCAGAAGAAGCACCGGCUAACUCCGUGCCAGCCGCCGCGGUAAUUC